rnacentral:rRNA from 1 species
UACGUAGGUGACAAGCGUUGUCCGGAUUUACUGGGCGUAAAGAGCGCGCAGGCGGUCGUUCAAGUCGAGUGUGAAAGCCCCCGGCUCAACUGGGGAGGGUCACUCGAUACUGAUCGACUCGAAGGCAGGAGAGGGAAGUGGAAUUCCCGGUGUAGUGGUGAAAUGCGUAGAUAUCGGAGGAACACCAGUGGCGAAGGCGACUUCCUGGCCUGUUCUUGACGCUGAGGCGCGAAAGCUAGGGGAGCAAACGGGG